GCACCAUGGACUCUCGUGAAGCUUGAAGGUAAUAAGCUGAAGACUACAGAAACAGUAACUUGAUCUAUUCCAGGAGAACUUCAUUGAGCAGAUUUGGGAUAUGAAAAAAAAUAUUUUCAUCCAAAAGACUGAAUCUUUAAUGAUCAAGUGAGUAUUCAUCCACUCUCCGGAUCAUGCUAUUUUCUAAGCCCUCCUGCCUUGCUGGAGGAAAGAGAAAAGAGUUUCAGUCUUCAACUUCAGGACGAGUUGAGAGAAUUUUUCAAGUCUGACACCUCAAGAUGGAGAAGAGAGAACAGGACAGGGAGGAGGAUGCCUGAACAGCUUCUCUUCCAGACUUGAGAAACACCCAUUAGAGCCCUUCUCGGGAACUGUGUGCCACACAGCAUGUAUUUGGAAGUGACACACGGAGCAAUUCUGGUCGUUUCAAAAUUGCCACCAUGCUCCAGGCUCUGCUCAGUGGCUCCACCCAGCUCCUCUCUCCCGAUCCCGAAAGUUCCAGCACGCUGAGCAACUGGGCAGUUGCAAAGUGAGAAUUUCAAUCAAGGUAUCCUAACUUCAAAGUACUUCUCUAGAUGCAGUAAGUCAUUCUGAGUGGUAGAUGGUCUCAAGGCGCUAUCCCCAAGGAAAAGUGUGGGCAGUUUUGUUCCAGGCAUUGCAUGACAAGAGCCACUCGGGACAAGAUUCACUGAGCGGGGGACCUAAAGCCAACCAAGGUACCAGAUGUGGAAUGACAUGGGUCUGUCCCACCCCACCCCCAAAUGCUCAGGGCACAUAUGGCCCUGAAUCAGAUUACACUGCAUGUGACACAGUAAAAUACUCAAGUAUUUAUGGAAAAGAGAAUCCAAGUUUGCUACUAAGUUUUACUAGUUCACCCAGCAUUCAUCUGGCUUUUUAAAAAUGUAGCUAACAAAAUUAAAAUCCUGAAGAUAAAAGUUUCGGUUGUUUUUCGUUAGGUCUAUUGGUACUUUUUAUGUAUACAGUAGUUAUG
rnacentral:lncRNA from 1 species